rnacentral:lncRNA from 1 species
AUGAGUAGUAACAGUAGUAGCAGUAAUGACAGUAGCGCUAGUAACAGCAGUGGUGGUAGUAGUAGUAGUAGUAGUCCUACUGAGUUUGAAAACAGUGGUUCAAGUUUUAUAGCUAGUUUGAAAAUAUUUGAUCAUAAAUUAACGGAAACUUUGAAUGAUGGAAGUGUAUCUUUCUUUUACAAAAAAAGUGUAAAUGAAAAAAAUGAUAGUUUAGAAUAUGCAAAUAAAAACAAUGGUUGUAUAAACACGCAUAUGAGCAGCUGUAUCAGUUUUAACGAUAAAAAAUUGUAUACAGAUAAAGAUAUAACAUUAAGUAUGACGCAAAAGAAUUGUGUCAGCAGUAACAAUAAUAGCAAUAAAAAUAAUAUUUCUAAUUUUUUAACAUUAAUAAAAGGGUUUAGUAUUACACUAAAACUAUUGAUUAAAUAUUUAAAUGAUGACUGUUUAAUAAGACUAUUUUUGUACUCCCCAAAUUUGUUUUAUACAAAUUGUAAGAUCAAAGAAGUGGUACAAUUUUAUAAAGACAUGUAUGAAAGAAUUAAAAAAAUGAAAAAUAUUAACAAUAAAAAUUUAGCCUUUAUUUUAAAUACAUGUAAUUAUCAUUUAAAAGAAGAAAAUGUACACUUAUUAAAGCAUUUACACCAUAAUAUUAUGAUAAAUAGUCGAUACAUGGUGAAUGGUGGUGGUGAUGAUAACAGUGGUGGUGGUAUCACUCACAGUAACAACUCUGUUAAUUAUACCAAUUUUAACAACCGACAUAAACAAAAUAACAUUUAUAACAUAACCCCCUCUCAUUUAGAAAAUGUUAUAUAUACGUUUUCGAAAAAUAAAUAUAAAGACAAAAAAUUAUUUUUAUUGUUUCGUGAAAUUAUUAUAGAAAAGUAUAACGGUUUUUCUUGUAUUACUUGCAUAAAUAUUUUAAAUAGUUUUGUUAAAUUAAAUUAUGAAAAACUAAUAUUUAAUGUUCUUUAUGAAAAACUAAAGCAUUUUGACUUUCUUACUUUCAUGAUGUGUAAAGGGAAUAAUAUUAUCAAAUUGAUUAAUACAUUAUUGCAAAUCGAAACUCGAAAUAGUCGUAAAUAUGGUACUUUCAAUAAACCUAGAAAGGUGUAUAAUGUAAGUAAUGGAACAUAUAUAUCUAAUAAUUAUAAAGAAAAAAAUAAUGAUAUUAUGAUAAAUAAUAAAAAAGAAAAGUCUCCUAAUAAUAACAACGAUUAUGGUUUUAAAAAAAGUUUAACUGAUAAAGAAAUGUAUGUAACUCUUAUUACUGCUUUAUUAUAUGAACUAAAAACGUUUAAAAGGAGCACUAUUCUUGCUAAUGGUCAGUACAAUAAUAGUUACGCAAAUGUGCCGGCAAAUGAGUGUAAUAAUGUGGGAACAAACAAUCACACAGAUGUCGAUAUAAUUUUGAAUAUUUAUAAAAAACUCCUAGCAUUACAAAUAAUUAAUGUGCAAAAUAAAACUGAUUUAGUUUUUUUUAAAAAUAUACUAAAAAUUAAAAAAAAUAAUGACAAAAAAAAUGACAAAAAAAAUGAC